UGAGUACGGUAUCAUUGGGUCCA
rnacentral:siRNA from 1 species